GGAGUUUGGGCCGUGUCUCAGUCCCAAUGUGGCCGUCCGCCCUCUCAGGCCGGCUACUGAUCGUCGCCCCGGUGGGCCGUUACCCCGCCGGCAAGCUAAUCAGACGCAUCCCCAUCCCUCAGCGAUAAAUCUUUGCUCCUCGUUAGAUGCCCGCAAAGGAGAACAUAGGGCAUUAAUCCGACUUUCGCCGGGCUAUUCCCUACUGAGGGCCAGGUUGGAUACGCGUUACUCACCCGUGCGCCGGUCGCCAGCGGAGAUAGCAAGCUAUCUCCCUCGAUGCCCCUCCGACUUGCAUGU
rnacentral:rRNA from 1 species